CCUACGGGGCGCAACAGGGGCGAAAACUUUACAAUGCGGGAAACCGUGAUAAGGGGACACCGAGUGUCGGCAUCAUGUGCUGGCUGUCCAGGUGUGUAAAAUACACCUGUUAGCAAGGGCCGGGCAAGACCGGUGCCAGCCGCCGCGGUAACACCGGCGGCCCGAGUGGUGAUCGUGAUUAUUGGGUCUAAAGGGUCCGUAGCCGGUUUGGUAGUCCUCCGGGAAAUCUGAUAGCUCAACUAUUAGGCUAUCGGGGGAUACUGCCAGGCUUGGAACCGGAAGAGGUAAGAGGUWCUACAGGGGUAGGAGUGAAAUCYUUGUAAUCCCUGUGGGACCACCUGU
rnacentral:rRNA from 1 species